UUGCACGCUGGCGGCAGGCCUCACACAUGCAAGUCGAACGGUAACAGGAAGAAGCUUGCUUCUUUGCUGACGAGUGGCGGACGGGCGAGUAAUGUCUGGGAAACUGCCUGAUGGAGGGGGAUAACUACUGGAAACGGUAGCUAAUACCGCAUAACGUCGCAAGACCAAAGAGGGGGACCUUCGGGCCUCUUGCCAUCGGAUGUGCCCAGAUGGGAUUAGCUAGUAGGUGGGGUAACGGCUCACCUAGGCGACGAUCCCUAGCUGGUCUGAGAGGAUGACCAGCCACACUGGAACUGAGACACGGUCCAGACUCCUACGGGAGGCAGCAGUGGGGAAUAUUGCACAAUGGGCGCAAGCCUGAUGCAGCCAUGCCGCGUGUAUGAAGAAGGCCUUCGGGUUGUAAAGUACUUUCAGCGGGGAGGAAGGGAGUAAAGUUAAUACCUUUGCUCAUUGACGUUACCCGCAGAAGAAGCACCGGCUAACUCCGUG
rnacentral:rRNA from 1 species